GGGACUAUCAGUUUCACCUUAAACGAGCCCAUCAUUGAGUUUAACGGAUGCCUCGUAUUAUGUACCACCGGUCCCCUCAAACCUCAAGAUAACCAGCUUUUCUUCUAGCCACGAUCAUCGUUAGAUAUUACUUCCCUUUCCACAACUUUACAGGGGUUCCCAGAUGCCUCUUAAAUCCGAUUAAAACCUCCUGAGUUGGAGUUUUUGUUCUUGGAGGGAUUGAUGUGUUUGUUUGCAGCUCUUCGUGUUCAGCUCAGGUUGUUCAGGUUCUAUCCUUCUGUGGCCCUAAUGAAAUCCCCUCUGUGGCAAACCACAUUUCCCCCCCCUCAGAUCAUAACCACUUCCUAAGAAGGGCUCAAGUCGCUUCCCUUUUGCUUUCUCGUUUCCUACCGCUCUGUAACUUUCCACAGCCUGUCCGGGUGAGCGUGUGCUGUGUCAGACGCUGGCUGACCGACAAUGAGGCAUUAUCACAGUUUUAACCCUAACGAAGCUAUGAUGUGUGGAGGUCUCGGAGCCACAUCAAAAUAAAAAGGGAACAGCCUAGUUUCUGCUUUCACGUUUGGAGCGGCAGCGCAAACUCCUGUAAACUUAGAAGACGAGUUGGCUACCCCAAUCCAGCUCCAGCUUUCUGCAUCAGCAAGAACUGAUGGGACAAACUCCUGGAGCACCACCGUGGUCGGUAAAGCUCGUCCAAGUUCGCUGCUGGGAGGCCACUGGAACAAGAGACUGGAAAUCCUGUCCAGGCAGAGAAGUGCCUCCCUCGCCCUGCACUGCCCCGUGCAGUGAGCAGGAGCCACUCAGUGCUUCCUUAAGUUUAACCUUUUGGUGUACUCAAAAAAAAAAAAAAAAAAAAAAAAGAA